rnacentral:lncRNA from 10 species
AGAGAGGGCUGCGGACAGGGAUGCAUCUCUACCGGUAAAGGAACACAGCCACGGCUUGCCAGGGAAGGGACUAGAGAAGCAAAUAUCCCGACCUUUCUCAGCAACCAUCUCCCCAUCCCAUACCAGUGCCUGCCGUCGGGUGAUCUAACUGCAAGCAAAAGGCAGCAGGGAAUGUUUGAAGAUUUCUGUGGCCAGUCUCCUAGGAAUGUGAGCACUGUGAGGAAAGCUGGAACAUGGAUCUGGAGGGACAAACGGAGAACGUCCGGGACAGGAAGAGUAGUGGGAAACGAGUCAGAGAGAGAGCAAAUGUGCGCUGAGUGCCUCUCCAUGGAAGCCUGAGGGGAACCCAGCAGGGCGCAGAGCAAGCAACAUCCCUGCCCUCUACUGGCUGGAUGAGGGAGGACGAUGAGAUGCGUGACCCCCAUAGAGCGCUGCCGGCAGGUUACAGCCCCUACAGGGUGCUAUCUGAA